rnacentral:lncRNA from 1 species
CGCCCGGGAGCCCCCAUGUUAAUCUAAUGGGACUGACACAUAAAUCUCACAUUAUACACAAUUACAGCGCAUAGACCUUUUUCACGACAACCGGAAGUAGCGCGUACUAGCGCCCAGUCACUUCCUGUCUUCGCGGGUCUAAGGGGAAAUAGCACCUGUUUUUUCAACAAAGUCGCUUAAUUUGCCCACUUUUCGUUCGCUGAUGUGGAGGUAAUCGCUGUCACAGUCAGGUGGGCAGGCUGUGAGAAUGGGCUCUAAUUAUAUUAAUGUUUGUACCUGGAAACAACGUAAAAGGCGCUGGUGUUGGACUGACUAAAGGGACACAGCUAGCCUGAACUGCGUCAGUGAGAUGGGCCGAUAUAAUUGCUCAGCACACCCACAGAUGUCCUCAAGUAAUGGCUCAUUCAUUGUUCUACUGGUCAAUCAGCAAAGGAAAUCGAUGCAUUUGGGGUCACUUUGAAGAGCAGAAGUGGAGAGCAACACAAUGUUAAACACUAAAUCACUUUUAAGAUGGAGUUGCAGAGCAUGAAGGCGAGG